AUUGAACGCUGGCGGCAGGCUUAACACAUGCAAGUCGAGCGGAGUGAUGGUGCUUGCACUAUCACUUAGCGGCGGACGGGUGAGUAAUGUUUAGGAAUCUGCCUAUUAGUGGGGGACAACAUCUCGAAAGGGAUGCUAAUACCGCAUACGUCCUACGGGAGAAAGCAGGGGAUCACUUGUGACCUUGCGCUAAUAGAUGAGCCUAAGUCGGAUUAGCUAGUUGGUGGGGUAAAGGCCUACCAAGGCGACGAUCUGUAGCGGGUCUGAGAGGGUGAACCGCCACACGGGGACUGGGACACGGCCCAGACUCCUACGGGAGGCAGCAGGGGGGAAUAUUGGACAAUGGGGGGAACCCUGAUCCAGCCAUGCCGCGUGUGUGAAGAAGGCCUUAUGGUUGUAAAGCACUUUAAGCGAGGAGGAGGCUCUUUUGGUUAAUACCCAGAAUGAGUGGACGUUACUCGCAGAAUAAGCACCGGCUAACUCUGUGCCAGCCGCCGCAGUAAUAC
rnacentral:rRNA from 1 species